GGAGGUGCCAGAAAGCACCGAGAAACCUGUUCAGGAGUGGAUAGAAGAGCCUCCCAGCAGUGACAGGGAAUCCCUGGUGACAGUGACAACAAUGACAAGAAGGACAGAAACCACACCAUCAGUGAGGUGAGGAAACAGCUUCACAGAUAUUGUGCAAUUGACACCAGAGAAAACAAUUUCAAAGUUCUGUGAAACAGGAGCUCUUAUUUUCUGUACUGGAACACUUAAAGUUAAGGAAGUUCAAGACGGCAACAAAGCCAUGACCUGGACGUUAGAAUUAUCACGGCUCCUGUGCGGACAGGUGGAGUCCGGCAGCAUCUACCAUGGUUCCAGGCUGCCGUGUCCCCGAAACACCUCGUGAACUAUCUGUCCCCAAAGAGAUGCAGG